GUGCCGCCAUAUGUCUUGAGAACAGUUUCCUCUCAGAAAACCCCUUCCCAGAGUUCUGAAUAUUUUAGUUCAAGUUUCCGCAAGCAUCCAUUUGUUCAGCAAAUACUGAUGUUGUACGUUUCGAUACAUGUCUUAGAAUUAGAAACUUGGACACUCUUCCUGAUCUCCAGGGACAAUUGAGUCUGCCUCCCAUCAGUUGGUCAGACAGAGCAGUUUGUUGUUAUAGCAACGCUAUAGUGUUGAUACGAUCUAAGUGUUUUCCCCACGAGUUCUCAGAUGAUUCCAGAAGUACUGCCUAAGAAGAGACAGAGCCUAAUGGAAAGAUAAUAAACUAGUAGGACCGCUAGCUGGACCACAUUUUAAUGCCUGCACACAGCAUAUAAUUAUGUAGACAAUAAUAUAACAUUAGUGUGAAUAUACAUUUUCAGAACGUAAGCAAAAGAGAAGCUUUUAAGAGGAAGGAGAGUCUGUUCCACACCUGUUUCCUUCUUUCUGCACUUCAGCUCUGUGGGCAAAAUGUAAUCGUGCCUCACUGCCAUCACUUAUGGUGUAGACUAGUACAACCAUUCAUUAACCCUGGGCACAGAGUGACAUUUGCAGUUUUUAUGACAGGCUUUUCUCAACUUAAAGUAUAAGCACAGAGAGGCCCAAGAGGACCCAGAACAGCACAGGCAAUUGCCACUGCUGUUGGUUGCCCACUAGAACUAUAUGGUAAAAACCUACUGAUGAGGAUAACAUGUGCCCUAGGAAAAGGCCAUAGAAAAAUGAAGCUCCAGUUGAACUUCUGCCUACAGGAGAGGCAUCAUAGAAAACGCCAGAAGGGGGAAAUAUUUUUGACGUAACCCUGAAGGUAUGCAGUCUUCCCUGCAAUGAGUCCUGUAUUGAGACUGUAAGAAGAAUGUGGUGGCGAAGAUAUGAGGUG
rnacentral:lncRNA from 1 species